UAUCACGUGUAGUAUGGCUAUUUAAGCGUGGGAAUUUCCAAUACGCUUCAGUCUUCGUCACGUCGCCGAAAGCUGUGAAGACUCACCAGAAUGCCGCUGUGAACCCAGAAAACCCCUGUAUACUCCAGUAAACUACAGUACAUACAUUCCUGAUACCCAUCCAUUGUGUGUAGCGACGGGUGUUGGCCCCGCAUACGAUUUGUGAGUUAUAUUCAAAUCUAAUUGCUAAGUUAUAGGCUAACUGUAAACUUUAUGAAGAUGCUGUAUCUAUCUCAACCUGUGAAACUCUAAACACUGUGCUCUAAUUAACUUUCAUUUAUUGUGAACAUAUUGUUUAAUUGUCACUGUGUUUAAAUAUUGUACUUUGGUGUGUAAUUG